GUAGGGAAUUUUGCGCAAUGGGGGAAACCCUGACGCAGCAACGCCGCGUGAUCGAUGAAGCCCUUCGGGGUGUAAAGAUCUGUCAGUGGGGACGAAACCUGACGGUACCCACAGAGGAAGCACCGGCUAACUCCGUGCCAGCAGCCGCGGUAAUACGGGGGGUGCAAGCGUUGUCCGGAAUCAUUGGGCGUAAAGAGUUCGUAGGUGGCACGUUAAGUCUGGUGUUAAAGGAGGAAGCUCAACUUCCGUAGGGCACUGGAUACUGGCGAGCUUGAAUGCGGUAGAGGUAAAGGGAAUUCCUGGUGUAGCGGUGAAAUGCGUAGAUAUCAGGAGGAACAUCGGUGGCGUAAGCGCUUUACUGGGCCGUAAUUGACACUGAGGAACGAAAGCCGGGGUAGCAAAUGGG
rnacentral:rRNA from 1 species